CCCAGGGCGUUGCCCUGGGCUGAGGAAUCUCGCCCCUUCAGGGCG
rnacentral:sRNA from 1 species